CCUACGGGAGGCAGCAGUGGGGGAUAUUGGACAAUGGGGGAAACCCUGAUCCAGCGACGCCGCGUGAGUGAAGAAGUAUUUCGGUAUGUAAAGCUCUAUCAGCAGGGAAGAAAGAAAUGACGGUACCUGAGUAAGAAGCCUCGGCUAACUACGUGCCAGCAGCCGCGGUAAUACGUAGGGGGCAAGCGUUAUCCGGAUUUACUGGGUGUAAAGGGAGCGUAGACGGCUAAUCAAGUCAGAAGUGAAAACCCAGGGCUCAACUUUGGGACUGCUUUUGAAACUGAGUAGCUAGAGUGCAGGAGAGGUAAGCGGAAUUCGUAGUGUAGCGGUGAAAUGCGUAGAUAUUAGGAGGAACACCGGUGGCGAAGGCAGCUUACUGGACUGUAACUGACGUUGAGGCUCGAAAGCGUGGGGAGCAAACAGGAUUAGAUACCCUUGUAGUC
rnacentral:rRNA from 1 species